rnacentral:rRNA from 1 species
UACGAAAGGUGCAAGCGUUGUUCGGAAUCAUUGGGCGUAAAGCGCGCGCAGGCGGAUCAGCAAGUCAGAUGUGAAAUCUCGGAGCUCAACUCCGAAACUGCGUCUGAAACUGCUAGUCUAGAAUGUCGGAGGGGGCAGGGGAAUUUCACGUGUAGGGGUAAAAUCCGUAGAGAUGUGAAGGAACACCGGAGGCGAAGGCGGGGUCUCUGGACAGUUCCUGACGCUGAGGCACGAAGGUCAGGGGGAGCAAACGGG